ACUCCUACGGGAGGCAGCAGUUAGGAAUCUUCCGCAAUGGGCGAAGCCUGAGGGAGCGAUACCGCUUGAAGGACGAAGCCCCUCGGGGUGUAAACUUCUGAACUUGGGACGAUAAUGACGGUACCAAGGUAAUAGCACCGGCUAACUCCGUGCCAGCAGCCGCGGUAAU
rnacentral:rRNA from 1 species